rnacentral:rRNA from 1 species
AUAAUCUUAUUACAUCACAUGAUAUUUUAAGUAAAGGUCAGCCGAACUAAGAUGAGCUCGCGUUCUAUCAGCUUGUUGGUGGGGUAAAAGCCUACCAAGGCUACGACGGAUAGCUGGUCUGAGAGGACGAUCAGCCACACUGGGACUGAGACACGGCCCAGACUCCUACGGGAGGCUGCAGCAGGGAAUAUUGCGCAAUGAGCGAAAGCUUGACGCAGCGACACCGCGUGUGGGAUGACGGUUCUAGGAUUGUAAACCACUUUCAGGAGGGAAGAAAAUGACGGUACCUCCACAAGAAGCCCCGGCCAACUACGUGCCAGCAGCCGCGGUAAUACGUAGGGGGCGAGCGUUGUCCGGAUUUAUUGGGCGUAAAGAGCUCGUAGGCGGUUCAACAAGUCGGUCGUGAAAGUUCAGGGCUUAACCCUGAAAUGUCGAUCGAUACUGUUGUGACUAGGAUAUGGUAGAGGUGAGUGGAAUUCCGAGUGUAGCGGUGAAAUGCGUAGAUAUUCGGAGGAACACCAAUAGCGAAGGCAGCUCACUGGACCACUAUCGACGCUGAGGAGCGAAAGCUAGGGGAGCAAACAGGAUUAGAUACCCUGGUAGUCCUAGCUGUAAACGAUGGAUACUAGAUGUAGGAAUUGGAUUGACGAUUUCUGUAUCGUAGCUAACGCGUUAAGUAUCCCGCCUGGGGAGUACGGUCGCAAGACUAAAACUCAAAGGAAUUGACGGGACCCCGCACAAGCGGCGGAGCAUGCGGCUUAAUUCGAUGAUACCCGUAGAACCUUACCUGGACUAGACAUAUAGGGAAAAGCUAUAGAAAUAUAGUGUGCGUAAGCGCCCUAUACAGGUGGUGCAUGGCUGUCGUCAGCUCGUGUCGUGAGAUGUUGGGUUAAGUCCCGC